rnacentral:rRNA from 1 species
UACGAAGGGGGCUAGCGUUGUUCGGAAUUACUGGGCGUAAAGCGUACGUAGGCGGAUUGUUAAGUGAGGGGUGAAAUCCCGAGGCUCAACCUCGGAACUGCCUUUCAUACUGGCAAUCUUGAGUCCGGGAGAGGUGAGUGGAACUCCUAGUGUAAGAGGUGAAAUUCGUAGAUAUUAGGAAGAACACCAGUGGCGAAGGCGGCUCACUGGCCCGGAACUGACGCUGAGGUACGAAAGCGUGGGGAGCAAACGGGG